AUGGCCCCAAUUCGCCGCAACAGGCGGCAGACACAAGGGAAGGAGGCCCAGUCGGGCUUUGAGGCGCCGUCUCUGCGCGGCGGCAAUGUGCCGACCGGCGAGUUCGGCACCUGUCCCCAGCCGGAUCGCACCGUGCACUUUCCCAGGCCCAAGGGGAUCGGGCCUGUCGGCGAGUCCAGCUCCAGCAAGCACCGCUCGCCGCCGCAGGAAGAGGACGUCGAGAUGGCGGCCUGGCAGCAGGCGGACCGUCAGCGGCGGAAGUGGAGCGAGUCAACGGCGGGAGGCGAGCAGGCGAGAGCGCCGCGGCGAUGGGCGGCGAGGUACUCGACGUUUCUCAUGAAGGACACGCCGUGGCACGCGGGAGGGGUCCUCCUCCUCCAGCCCGGUGACAACCCUCGCCUCAUCCUUAAGGACAACCGCGGCGUCACCAUCGAUGCGCGACUCCUUCGUGAUGGCGAAUCCGUGUCCUUUGAUGACACCAUCCUGUUCCCAUGCCACCGGGCUAUCGUCGGCCACGCCCAGGGAGAAGGUGACUCCCGGGUUUGA
rnacentral:rRNA from 1 species